CCUACGGGAGGCAGCAGUGAGGAAUAUUGGUCAAUGGGCGGAAGCCUGAACCAGCCAAGUAGCGUGCAGGAUGACUGCCCUAUGGGUUGUAAACUUCUUUUAUAUGGGAAUAAAAUGUUCCACGUGUGGGAUUUUGUAUGUACCAUAUGAAUAAGGAUCGGCUAACUCCGUGCCAGCAGCCGCGGUAAUACGGAGGAUCCGAGCGUUAUCCGGAUUUAUUGGGUUUAAAGGGAGCGUAGGUGGAUUGUUAAGUCAGUUGUGAAAGUUUGCGGCUCAACCGUAAAAUUGCAGUUGAAACUGGCAGUCUUGAGUACAGUAGAGGUGGGCGGAAGUCGUGGUGUAGCGGUGAAAUGCUUAGAUAUCACGAAGAACUCCGAUUGCGAAGGCAGCUCACUGGACUGCAACUGACACUGAGGCUCGAAAGUGUGGGUAUCAAACAGGAUUAGAUACCCUUGUAGUC
rnacentral:rRNA from 1 species